UGCUUUGAAGAGCAGUGACACUGUGGAUGCACCCACUGCGUGCACGGCCUCUGGCACCUGGACGGGCAGAGGAGAAGCCCAGCUUGGGAGCUGGGCAACUACAAGAAUUGCAUCAUAUGGAACGAGGCUGAUGUCACCUGGCUGUUUAUUUCUGCAAGCAGAGAGAGGAUUUUCAACAGUAUCCUGGAAUCACAGAGCUUUAUAAGGAAAGGGCUGAAGACAUCUGGACCCUACUAGCAAGAACAGGCCACAUGAAAAUUGGUUUUAACACAAGAGAAAAAUUACACAGCUCUUGUUCAGAGUGAAGCCGGAGGGUAACGAGGGAAGGAAAUGUGUAAAAUUCACACCUCUUUUCAGGAGGUUUGGCACCAUCCAGAAAUGCCAUAGUUGACAGCAACCUGAGGAGAGGUGGGGUGAGGAUGCCCUGGUGGCAACCUGAGCAGCAAAAUGGGAAACAGAGGCCACCUUCAGAGAGGCAGGAAUUUUGCUCAGACUACAGGGUGUGCUGGUUGGCAGUUUCUUCCCCCAGAAUGACCAAUGGCCAACAUGUUGUCAGCCAAGGUGAUAUUUCUGCCUGAAACUUUGGAAGGGAAGAAGCCACACCACCUGUCUGGAGUGGAGGGGAGGGAUGAACCAUGCUCCAGCCACAGGCAGAUGCCGUCAUCCUGCCCUGCAGCUUCCUGGGAGGAAUGUCUGGAGCAGCAGGACAUGCACAACCGUAUUUUUUAAUAGAUAAACAACCCAUCUUUCUCCUUCCUGCAAUCCCAUUGGUGAGCUUCAUUUGGCCAAACAAGGAGUUCAAGGUGUACCAUGGGGCUCAGAGGGAGGAAAAGUGCAAGAAAUCCUUCCAGGAAAUAGAAAGCAAGCAACAGGAUUUCAUCCAAGGGCUCCCUGAAUGCAGAAAACAGAUGGUGAUUGAGUUCUGUAGCAGCUCAUCUGAAGGACACAAAAAUGAAAUUUUUUCCAGGAAAGUCUUCAUGCCAGCAGCAUGGAACUUCAAGCUUCGGCUUUAAAGGUCGUUGUGUUUUAUCAAGAUAUCAUUUUGUGAUGAGUUUUUAUUAUUCUCAGUGGCACUAACAGCAUGCAGUGGCUGAUCUUUCUUCAGAAACAGUAAAGGAAGAUUUCGAUGGACAUGUAAUUAGAGGUGAAUGGAGUCUUCAGACGUACAGCAACCACGAAAGCCAGCGGCAAAGUCAAAGUGUUUGUCUAAUUCUGCAGUCGGCUCUUUCAGUGAACGAAACCAUGUGGUCAGCUGCACAAAGAGGAGAAGAAAGUAGAAAAGGAGAAGCAAAAAAAAAAAAAAAAAAAAACAAAACACCAACAAAAAAAACCAAAAUCAGCCUUUAAAUAAAAAAAAGUGGGUUGCCUGGCACUUACAAAGCUCCCAGAUGAAAAGGAAUGUGUUUCAAUAUAUUUUUGGUCAGGGUGCCAGAGAGCACGUUGGAAGAUAAAUGCCAGCAAAGAAUCUGUCCUUCUCAUACAGAGGGAAGAAAUAGCUAAAGGUGGAAAGCUUUGUUUUGAAGUGCUUGAGAUGCUUAAUCAUUAGCAGAAUACAUGUGAGAGCUGGAAAGCUACAGAAAAAUAAAUGAAGGUGAACUGAAGAAAUGUGUGCCACAACACUGGCGUAAAGAUUUGAGUAUUUUUUUAUGUAAGUCAUCCACAUCUGCCACACUUCAGGAAACAUCCUGCAGCUCUUACACCAGACAGCAAGCAGCAGAUAUUCCAUCCUGUCCCUGAGGACGUCAGUCUGAUGAGCCACAGUGAUGCCCAUCCUCACCAUGUGCCUACAGAGUGGGAGGAAGAAAUAAAAUUAAUCCCUCUGGAUCAGAGCUGUAACGAUCCUGACAGAAGGACAGGGUGUCUGAAGCUGUGCUGAUUUAUUCCAGAGGAGGCAAUGCUCCUUGGAGGGCAAGAGCAUGGAUACAGGGUGUGGCAUGGCUGGAUGACCCCAGCCUGCAGAGGCAUAGUGGCAUUAAGAGCAACAAACCCAUGCUUGCAAGCAAAUUAAAAUUCAGAACUUAAUUGGAUUUUUAUAUUCUCUUUAAACAGCUUUACCAAGGUGGCACUUUCUGAUCCUGUAUAUAAGAACUGAUCUCUGAUGGUGACAGUAAAGCCCAGGUCUCCCAUAUCCCACUGAGGUGAAAUUCUUAUUAAAGCAGAGUAAGAAAUAUCUGUGAGAAAACUUCACUUCAUAUUUUCAUUGAAGAAGAUACUGAGAAUGGGACUCUGGCAGGAAACAGCAUUUUUAAGGACGAGCAGAGGGAAAAGCCACCUUGAUGAGGUCACCUCCAGGUUAUAUGGUCAUUACUUACACUCUGUGUUGGAGAGGAGCAACACAGUGCCAACAGAUCUGCACUUUGGAUCUCACAGCACAGUUCUGUGACACUGGAAUGGAAGCUUUCACUCCAUACAAGUCAUUUGAUUUCAGGAAAAUAUCUGAAGUAAUGAAAAUGUUAGGUGAUGAGAACAUUUCUUGGCCAGCAGCUCUGGCUGCUCCCCUGAGCGCUCUUGGCACAGUGGGAAUCAGAGAGGCCAUUCCUGUUCCAUCCCCAGGAAACAGGGCCCUGCUUUAUCCCAGGGUGACAAAAGACUUAUUGCAAACAUACAUCUUCCCACUCAUCUAGUGAACGCUUCAUGACCCUGAGGAACUCGCUGAGGUAGAAGCAUGAUUCAAAAAUCCUCAGUGCUAAACAAACAGGCUCACACUGAUCCCAGUUCUUCCUCUCCUCGGGUUACUUCUGGUCAGCGCGAGUCAAACAUCACACCCACACCUGAAAACCUCCCCACUGCAGAUCUGUGUGGGGUGAGGCAGGAGCAGAAAGGCAUUGCUAACUGAGGGCCUAAUUAUAAAACUGCCAGUACCUUUGGGAAAUAACUGACCGCAAAUGUCAGCUCAUCAGCAGGGUUGGAGCAUUCUUGCUGAAGUAUAAAAUUCUCAGCAUUAAAACUCUGCACUUCACAUUGUAUCAUUUUCAAGUGCAUGCCUUAAAACUGAUCGUGCCAGACAUCUUCCCCUGUGUUUUCCCUUCUGAAACCAAUGAUGCCAGUUUUAACACCUGCCACGAGCACAUAGGUGUGUAAAUUAAAAAUGUACUUUGCCUCCUCAGUGUUGACCUUCCUUACAGAUUAUUACUGCACUUACAUCUACGUGAGGCAGAACCUCCACACAUUCAGUGCAACAAAUCCCUUGCAUCAUUUGAAGAUUUGCCCCUCAUUUUAUAAGUCAUGUUUAUUACAGAUUGCAACAUGAGUAAGGACUCGGAAUUACUUUUCAAAAAUUAACUUUCUCCACACAAACAGACACCUAAGUAAUAAAGAAGUAAUCAAAGAAUAAAAGCCCCAGUUUGGUGCUACUUCUUCUUCAGGAUUUUGUCUGGCUACUUCUCUGCAUUCCUUGGGAAUUCAGAAUCAAGCAUAUGAGUCUGUCAAAAAGCCAUUUUUUCCUUAUUUCUGCCCAGAGUAAAAAAAAAAAUUAAAUGAACGUAUAACAGGAAAAUCUGCUCCUAUCAGGAGACCACGUCCCACUUUGUAGUCAUCAAGGCUUUGUCUAAUUCAAAUUACUUUGGCAUAACUGUCAAAAUUUGCUCUUCCCUGCUGAUUCAUCUCAGAUGUGUGGCAUUUCUCCCUUCUGAUUAGCCCAGAGAUGGACCUGGCCAGCCUCACUCACACGUGGUUCCAGCACAGCUCUGUGCAAGGUGGGGCAGAAACAACAACUGCUCUCCCAUCCUCCUUGCCAGCCUCACACUCGGCUGAGACAUCCAGACAACAUGGACAUGAAAGAGGCCCACAGAAACAGUCACAGAGAAAGUCAUUUUUCGUUUUCAAAGAGUUUUCUAAGCGUUUUUCCCCCUCUCCCUUUCUUUUGUUUUUGCUUUUAAUUAAAAAAUUUUCUGGUAUUGUAGAAAGUCAAAGUUCUCUUUAAAGCACAACCUCAUAUGAAGAUAAAAAGUAAAACACAGUUGGCAAGAGAAUUUUUCAUUUGUAUCUCCAAUGUGUCAGUUGGAAAUCCCCAGUGACAAUGCUGAUCCAUGUCACGAUUAAAAACUCCAAAACCAGUGAUGGAUAUUGGGAUUCAAAGGUCUGUUGAAAUUAAAUAGGAAGUACAAAUAUA